rnacentral:rRNA from 1 species
CGUCUAUAUACGUAUAGCAUAUCAAUAAGCGGAGGAAAAGAAACUAACAAGGAUUCCCUUAGUAACGGCGAGUGAAGCGGGAAGAGCUCAAAUUUGAAAUCUUCAAGGUUCUACCUUGACGAAUUGUAGUUUAUAGAAGUGUUUUCUGUUAGUGGAGUGGCAAAAGUUCUUUGGAAUAGGACAUCAUAGAGGGUGAGAAUCCCGUAUUUGGUCAUUCCUCCUAGCGUUGUGAUACACUUUCAAAGAGUCGGAUUGUUUGGGAAUGCAGUCCAAAAUGGGUGGUAAAUUUCAUCUAAAGCUAAAUAUUGGCGAGAGACCGAUAGCGAACAAGUACCGUGAGGGAAAGAUGAAAAGAACUUUGAAAAGAGAGUUAAACAGUACGUGAAAUUGUCAAAAGGGAAGCGUUUGACACCAGUGUUGUUUUUCCGAAAAUCAAUUACGAAUGUUUUGUUUUUGAGGAGUUAUGACUUCAUCGGCUUGCUCCUUUCUUUAUGAAACUUUCUUAAUGCACUUUUCGGUUAACAAGUCAACAUCAAUUUCUUUUGUUGUAAAAGGGUAUGAGGAAGGUGGCUUUCUUUUCGGAGAAAGUGUUUAUAGCCUUGGUGGCCUCUCGCAAUCGGAGAGAUUGAGGUCUGCAGCGUAGAUCCCUUCGGGGUUAGAUACGUUUGUGCUAAGUUAUAGCUUUUCAUAGACAACUUGUUGACUAUGUUUAGUCUUGUAGCUUACUCGCAUGACGCUAUUUUACCUACGCUUAGGAUGUUGAUAUGCAUGACUGAUAU